rnacentral:rRNA from 1 species
GACGUAGGGGGCAAGCGUUGUCCGGAAUUAUUGGGCGUAAAGCGCUCGUAGGCGGAUCGGUAAGUCUGUGAAGAAAGACCCGGGCUCAACUCGGGGAACGGCAUAGAUACUGCUGAUCUUGAGACAGUCAGAGGAUGAUGGAAUUCCAGGUGUAGCGGUGAAAUGCGUAGAUAUCAGGAGGAACACCGGUGGCGAAGGCGGGACUCUGGGCCGAUACUGACGCUGAGGAGCGAAAGCGUGGGGAGCAAACAGG